rnacentral:rRNA from 1 species
UACGUAGGGGGGCAAGCGUUGUCCGGAAUCAUUGGGCGUAAAGAGCGUGUAGGCGGUCAGGUAGGUCCGUUGUGAAAACUCGAGGCUCAACCUCGAGACGCCGAUGGAAACCAUCAUACUAGAGUCGAAGAGGAGAGUGGAAUUCCUGGUGUAGCGGUGAAAUGCGCAGAUAUCAGGAAGAACACCCAUGGCAAAGCGCUCUCUGGACGGUACUGACGCUGAGACGCG